GGAGACUUCAAAAGCACUCGUUUCUGCUGCAUUUGGCUAAAAAGUACUCGGGGCUUGUCAUACAAACAACUAUGAGACCACUAGAAGAUUUGGACAGUCCCAAAUAUGGGGUUGGACACCGAGACGUAUCUAACAUGGAGACCAUGGCGCAGGGCAGUGUAGUCUACAUGGAAAGAUAGUAACUAGUCGAGGAUUAUGAAAGUACUCACUGUAAUAAGAGUAGAACUCCUCAAGUUGUGUCCAACUAGUAUUCUUAUAAAUCAACUGACCUGUAACCCUACCCCCAACUAUAUAAGGUGAGGCAGGGACCUCCUACAAAGCAAUUUAAUCCAACCAACACACAAGACGUAGGGUAUUGCGCUAUUCAGCGGCCCGAACCUGUCUAAAUCGUGUGUUUGUGUUUACCUUCGAGUUCCUGAUCUCGACAAGCCCCACCAACCAAAACACUACCUCGGGAACCCCCUCCCCCCAGUAGGUUGCCG
rnacentral:lncRNA from 1 species